rnacentral:rRNA from 1 species
GACGAACGCUGGCGGCGUGCCUAAUACAUGCCAGUCGAACGAGAGCGACCGGUGCUUGCACUGGUCAAUCUAGUGGCGAACGGGUGAGUAACACGUGGGUAACCUGCCCAUCAGAGGGGGAUAACAUCCGGAAACGGAUGCUAAAACUGCAUAGGUCUUCGAACCGCAUGGUUUGAAGAGGAAAAGAGGCGCAAGCUUCUGCUGAUGGAUGGACCCGCGGUGCAUUAGCUAGUUGGUGAGGUAACGGCUCACCAAGGCCGUGAUGCAUAGCCGACCUGAGAGGGUGAUCGGCCACAUUGGGACUGAGACACGGCCCAAACUCCUACGGGAGGCAGCAGUAGGGAAUCUUCCGCAAUGGACGCAAGUCUGACGGAGCAACGCCGCGUGAGUGAAGAAGGUUUUCGGAUCGUAAAACUCUGUUGUUAGAGAAGAACAAGUGCUAGAGUAACUGUUAGCGCCUUGACGGUAUCUAACCAGAAAGCCACGGCUAACUACGUG